CUCGGUCUGGCUAUCGCGCUCACGGGAGAGCUGGGAGGGGCCCUUAAGGUUUCCCCGCUGUGUGGAGAGGGAAGGCUAGGGGGUUACACACCUGUCACCGCUGGUUUCAAUGAAGUUAUCUCCUCCGCCGCAUUCUGGUGACGUCAGUUCUCUGCCAUGGUGGUAUCCCAUGCAAAUGGCGAAAGUUCGUUUCCCUUUGCCAGGUGACCAAUGCAACGGGUGGGUCCUGACUGGCUCUCCCAAGCCCCGUUUCAAUCCUGUGGCCACUGCCUAUGAAGGCUCGGUUGGUAUUAACCUCCGUAGUUUCAGAAGGGCCGACCAGUUGUUUCAGCGGGAUCGUUUAGUGCUGAGUCAUAGCAGUUUGUCUGCAAGAAGCAGGCGAACGGGAGCUUGAAUUCAGCCAAUCCGGGCUCGGUGUGUGUUCUGAGAGGCCCAGACUGUUCGCCCCAGAUCCACGUCAGCUCAGCAUUGCCUAGUGAUCCUGAGCAAACAGCAUUUAGACGGUUUACGACUCCCUAUGCCCGCGCAGCUGAAGAGGUCAGAGACUUGAUCUCUCCGCGCCCGCUGCCAUGUUGGAUCUCCAACUCCUGCUUUUUUUUGGAGGAGGGUAAGUUGGGAUUAAACGGGGGGUCUUUGCUACUGAGCUACAUCCCUACCCCUUUUUAUUUUGAGACAAGGUCUCAUUAAGUUGCUGAGGCAGGCCUCAAAUUUGUGAUCCUCUUGCCUCAGGCUCUUGAGUGAGUUGAAUUAAAGGUAUGUUCUACUGUGCCUGUUCUCUUGCUUUUGAUUGAAUUAUAGUAAGAAAACACACUGUUCGUUUUAAACUAAAAUUUCAAGAUAGAAAACACUGUCCCUCUGUUUUUUGUUUUUUAUUUAAAGAGAGAGAGAAAGAGAAUUUAUUUUUUUAGUUUUUCGGCGGACACAAUAUCUUUGUUUGUAUGUGGUGCUGAGGAUCAAACCCGGGCCGCACGCAUGCCAGGCGAGCGUGCCACCGCUUGAGCCACAUCCCCAUCCCACCUCUGUUUUUUAAUUUUAUUUCAUACCAGGGAGGAAAUUUAAAAAUUCUUUUUUUUAAUCUUUUAUUGGUUUUAUUUUUUUUAAAUACAUGACAGCAGUGGAAUGCAUUACAAUUCUUAUUACACAUAUAUAACAGUUCUUAUAAUGAAGUAAUAAUAGUUAUGCAAUAUACCAGAACCUCUGGACACUAUGAAGGCAGUUCUAAGAAAUCAGUUUACAAAUAUGAGUGGCUACAUAGGAAAAUCAGAAAGAUCAUAAAUAACCGAGUGAUAUAUCUUAAGGUUCGUGAAAAAGAACAAACCAAUUCCAAAGACAGUAGAAAGAAGGAAAUAAUUAAGAUCAAAGUAAAAAUCAGUGAAAUUAACAAUAAAAACAUUCAAAGGAUCAAUGAAAUGGAGAGUUGGUUCUUUGAAGAGAUAAACAAGAUUGAUAAGCCCUUAGCCAAAAUAACCAAAAGAAAAAGAAGACCCAAAUUAAUAAAAUUAGAAAUUAAAAAGUAGAAAUCACCAGACAUCACAGAUAUCCAAAGAUCACUAAGGGAAUACUUUGAAAAUUUAUACUCCAAUAAAUUGAAAGACUUAAUACGUUUCUACACACGAGACCUGCCAAAAUUGAAUCAAGAGAACAUAGAAAAUCUAAACCAACCAGUAAUUAGCAAUGUGAUAGAAGCAGUAAUAAAAAGCCUUUCAACAAAGAGAAACCCAGGACCAGAUGUACUCUCAGCUGAAUUCUACCAGACAAUUAAAUAAAAACUAACAUCAAGGGCUUGGGUUAUGGCUCAACGGUAGAGCGCUCGCCUAGCAUGUGCGAGCGAAGCCCUGGGUUUGAUCCUCAGCACUAAAUAAAAAUAAAUAAAUAAAAUGAAGGUGUUGUGUCCAGCUACAACUAAAAAAUAAAUAUUAAAAAAAAAACUAACAUCAAGAUGAUGAAAAGACCUCCCAUAUUCAUGGAUAGGCAGUGCUUCUCAAAUUAUUUCAUGAAAUAGAAAGGGAUGGCACAGUUCCAAAUUCAUUAUAUGAAGCCAGUGUCAAACUCAUACUCAAACCAAUAAGAACACAUCGAGGAAAGGAAACUAUAAACUGAUAUCCCUGAUGAACAUACACACAAAAAUCUUUUUAAAAAAUAUUUGUUUAGUUGUUGAUGGACCUUUAUUUUAUUCAUUUAUUUAUAUAUGGUGCUGAGAAUUGAACCCAGUGCCUCACACAUUUUAGGCAAGCGCUCUACCACUGAAUCAGAGCCACAGCCCCUAGAUGCAAAAAUCUUAAUAAAAUAUUAGCAAAUUGUAUUCAACAUUGCCAAGUUGGUUCCUUUCCAGGGAUGUAAGCAUGGUGUAACAUACACAAAUCAAUAAAUGUAAUUCAUCACAAAAUAGAAUUAAGGACUUAGUCAUCUCAGUAGAUGCAGAGGAAGCUUUUGACAAAAUUCAGCAUGCAUUCACGAUAAAAACACUGAAGAAAGUGGAGAUAGAAGGAAUCUACUUCAAUAUCAUCAAGGCUAUAUAUAACAAGUCCAAAGCCAACAUCAGAGUGAAUGGGGAAAAACUGAAAGCAUUUCCUUUAAAAUCCAGAAUAAGACAAGGAUGUGUGGAUGUCUACUCCCACCACUCUUAUUUAAUAUAGUAGUAGAAGUUCUAGCCAGAGCAGUAGGCAAGAGAAGGAAAUAAGGGAUUAAAAAUAGGAAAGGAAGAAGUCAAAUUAUCACUGUUUGCACAUGAUAUGAUUGUGUAUUUAGAAGUUCCAAAAAGCCCCAUUAGUAGACUAUUAGAGUUAAUAAACAAAUUUAGUAAAGUAGCAGAUUAGAAAAUCAGCAUACAAAAAUCAAUAGCUUUCCCCCAUCAAUAAAAAAUGUGAAAAGACCCAAAAAUCAUUAGAUUUUCAUUAUACCGAUAAUUAAUCUGCUGAGAAAGAAAUCAGGAAAAUAAAACCAUUCAAAAAAGAAAAAGAAAAAAAU
rnacentral:lncRNA from 1 species